CAUCCGUUGCUCUUUUAUAACCCACGUAUAUAUUAGGUUGGAUUGGGAAUUUACCACAAUUCUCCAUCAUUUAUCGACCUUUUGCAAGCCAAGAGAAAUCGUUCAACAUUUAAUUUAGAAUAUAUUGAGAGCCAGAACCAGACACUACCCGGAGAUAAUUUAUUUACAGCAGCUUCAACAUUAGAUACAAGGCAGUAUGAUGUAUAAAUCAGUUUGUCUUUUAUUUCUUCUAAUGAAUAACAUGGUGUUUCCCAAUAUUCUGCACUUUACCAACACUUGGCCAGAUUUCGACCUAACCAAUGAUGUAAACCUCCAUCCUCCAGUUCCUCAUGGGUUUAUGGGGGCGAUUGCUGGGGGCAUGUUCUGUGCCAGAUGUAGAACGCCGUGGUGUAAACAACGAUGGUGUUUUUAAACUAUAGAGUAAUUUUGGGAUUUACUGGUUAUUGUUAGAAUAUUAUAGAUCCCGUCUGGAUUAGAUCCCGCUACAGUCAGUGUCGAUGCCGUACACACUUUUGAUUUAGUCUUAAGAGCUACCUACUGUUAAUUACUAAAUAGUAUACACUAUAUUAUAUAAAUUAUUUGGAUAAACUGUUUUAAAUGCUUA